AUGGAAAGAACAGCAUCAACCCUAAAAGCAAAGGAACAAACAGCUCCAGCAUCUGCUGCUAUAGCAGAAAUAGGUCCUGUUUACAUCAGGGAAGGAUCUGCAGAUUACAGCAGGAGUCAACCACAGCUUUCCCAAAAGCUCUCAUCUGACUCAAGUUCCAUCUUGAUGGCAUCCAUUUUCAGAAAGCAGAUGCUGCCCUCUUUUACACUGGUGCAAUUCUGGAAUAACUCCGCUGACGUCAGUGAAGUGACUCCAAAUUUAUCCCCGGUGAAAGCAGAAUUGGACCACAGUCUCUUUGUUUUCCUCUCUGCUCUGGAGCUCUGGGGAAGGUGUGCCACUGCCACACCAUAAGGCUGGAUUCUGGAUGCUGGAAGACUGUUGUGUCAGGAUGCUGCAAAAGAGGUUGUUGCAUCUUCUGCCUGUAGAGUUGGUGGAGUUUCCCUGUGUGAAGGGGGUACAGCUUUUAUGGUCAGGAAACUGUUUUCCUUGCUUUGUGGUUUUUCUUGUUGCUGUUGCUUUUAAAGGGGUCAGCAGUCCAGGAAAAUGAAACUAAAUGUGAACAGGGACUGCAAGAAGGAAGCAGGGAGAAUGCCCUACAAGAUUCAAAUGUGUCUCAUUUCUGGGAAAACUAAAUAAUGCAGGAUUCAACUGCCAGUGGCUAAAUAGCAGCAAUUUAUGAGCUGUUCCUCAAAAGCCCCAGACAAGCACCAAGUCCUGUGGGAAGCUGGAGACUGACACAGGACACCUCCAGAAGAGUCAGCUGUUGAAACUUCCUUUAAGCCUUUUUUUUCAAGUGGAACAUCCAGACCUGCCAAAUGCAUAAGGUCAGCCCUUAGAAGAGCAAACAGCUCUCUCUAGAAAAUCAAACAAGUGGCCAAAGUCUGUCCAUUUGUCUGCCUGUCUUUUUGGCCUUGGAUUACUGUGCUUUUCAAAGCUGUGCUUUCGUAACUUGGAUAAAAAGGUAGAUGUUUCACAUAGCUCUACAAGUAGUAAUCAUCCUGUUCAUGAAAAAUAUCUGCUGUCUAAAGGAUGGGCCCAAACUAGAGGUGUUUCUCAUUUACCUACAAAGUGUCUGGCUUCAGCAUCUGUACAGUCAGCUCUUGUGAACACGUGAGUCCUUUGCCUGCUCUAACAGAGUUAGUGACUUAUUUUCAGUGGUUGUAGCGAGUUUCACUGAAAUAGCCCUGUUUGUAGUCUUUUGUGUGAUUUUAGGAGACACAAUAGUCAGACAAUUCUGGAACUGUAAUAUAAAUUGUUCCCAGAAAAUGCUCUGAAGUCUUCUCCAUUGUGAUAAAAACCUCUGCUGCUUUUCAAGCUCUACAAGUCCACGCUGUACUGUGCUGAAAGUGAUAGAAAACCCAAUUAGCUCUGAAAAGUCAAGGGCAGAGAGUGGUGCUCUGGCCUGGAAUUCCCUUCCUUUGGCAGCAGCAAAGGUCAGCUGUGCAGCCAAGUUUCCAUGACCACAUGUGGAUCUAACCUGUGUGUAUUGCCAGCUCUCUGCAUAGGAGAGUGGGAGGGGGGCUAAGAAUAAUCGAUUCUGGAAGGAGAGAGCCUGAGAGGAAGAGUGGAGUUAAAUGUGACAGCUGGGAUUUUCAGAAGGUGGUUUGAUGGAUGCUGGGCAUCCAACUUCCCUCGAACUCUUUAUCAAUAACACCCUCUAUAUUCCUGAGUGACUUUUAGCCUGUCUGGCAGUUUUCAGCAUCAGUGUGUGAGGGAAAAGAGGUAGAAGGCUCAAAUCAAUCAAAUCAAAUCUCUUUGAUUUGGCAGCUCUGGGACUGCAAUACCUCCUUAUGGCUGCUGGCUGAGGGUCUGGAUCUCUGAGGAGCUUCCUGACUCCCUGUGGCUCCCACAGGUUUGUAGGACUGGGCUUAGAGAAAUCCUGAGCUGCCAGACUGGAGGCUGCUUCUGGUGCAGCUCUUCUGAGUAGUGCUGGGUGUGGAUGUGAGCCUGCAGUCCUGGGGAGGCAAUAUGCACUCCACAAUCCCAAAGUCUCUUAGUGGAGGCCAGCUCUGGGAAUUCUCUGAGUCCCUGUAUCCUGAUCUGUGUUUCAAGACCAUGUGGCUGACCAUGAGUGGCCAGAGCUGCUGUGGACCCUUCUUACAAGGGCAGUUGCCUUCAGAGUCAGCAUAGGUGCAGGCUGCCUUUGGAAAAGUGUGAAUAUCCUGGGGAGAUCCUUGGGGCAGAGACCUUGGGCCAUACUCUGUGCUCACACCGUCAGCAGGAAUGAUAUUGACUGGGUUGCUUUGCUUUUGGUGUGAAACCUUGCUGUGAUGCAUUAUUCCAAGGAAAACAGCUGGAAUUUGCAGGCCAGACCAUGUGUGAUAAGUAAUUCCAGCUCCCUUACUGGAGCUGAUUUAUACAGGUCAGGUCCAACAUUUCUGAGAAAUUGUUGAUGGUGAGGGUUUUUUUUUUUUUUGUUUGUUUGUUUCACUGAAAACUUGAAGCCUCUCAGAUAAAGAACAUGAGGUAUAGGGGAUUUUUAGCUGGAUGUGCUUCAGGAUGUUUGCUGCAUUUGGGCUUUGAGAACACAAAUUCUCUGCAGACAAUCCCACACACAGUGGGAGACGAAGUUAUUGGGCUUGGAAGUGGACCAGGGAGAUGGGACUCGAGUGAGCUUUGAACAGCAAUCAUUGUCAUUAGUGGUGGUGCCAUAAUAAGUGCUUGACUCAAAUCCAGCGUUGCACAGGCGAGAACCUGAUGAAACCUUGUAACUCGAUAUUUGUGGUUGUUCUACCAGUGUGAUCCACUGUUGAAUAGGCUAGACAUGAAUAAAAUCAGUAUUUUUUAAAGUGUUGUGUGGGGGUUUUUUAUGUCAAAAAGGCUGGUUGCCCUCUUGGACUUUAUUGUGUUCCUAUGAAAUGCUUUCUGUGGAGUUAGUACGGCUGUGCAGCUUUUUUAGGACAGUCCAUGUCCACUUGCAGAAUUUCACCUUCUCUUCCUCAGAGGUGGAUGCUGCAGUGCUGCACUGAACUCCUGCCACAGGGAAAGAUGUGAAGAUAAUUUGGCCCCCUGCUGGUCCUGCAGGGGUGGUCCCUCUGUUUGGUGACAGCUCUGCCUGCCAUCAAGUUGAAGUGAUCUGGCUGGAGAUCAGUGUAGUGCUGGUGAGGGAUGUGUCUGACUCCAUUCCAGACCUUGCUCAAGGAAAGGUGUUUUUGAAGGUGCUUUUCCAUCUCCCAGAUUCUGUGUCUGGUUGGAUACCAAGACAAAACGGAGCCAACUUGGGCGCUCCCCAGAGCGUUACCACCUUCCACGUGACCUGUCCUGCUCCAUCGUGGUCACUGCAUGUGGGAAUGCUCCGUGGCAAUCUCCAAGUUCCUCCUCACUCAGCUUUUGCUGGCUUCUGGACUCAGGAGCCACAAAG
rnacentral:lncRNA from 13 species